UCCCCUGGUGGUCCAGGGGUUAGGACUCUGUGCUCUCACUGCAGGGGGCCCAGGUUUGAUCCCUGGUUGGGGAA